rnacentral:lncRNA from 13 species
CUCCCCUCAUCCUCCAGACCACCUACCCCUGGCGCAAACCCUGUUACAUAAGGGAGAAGCCAGGAGCUAGGAGUUUUCUUCCCAUUAUUGUCAUGCUUAGCCAGGACGAGAGACUAUGGCAAAAAAAGGUCUCUUCAUGGCUGUCCAACAAAUAGUCAGAGGAUCUGAAAUAUGCCAGAAAAACAAUCCUUGGACACAUCGCAGAGUUCCUCUUGGGGAAGAGCUAACCGGUCGUUACCCAGAAGCAGCUUAACUCUUUGGCUGUUGUGGCUCUUCAAAAUAGAAGAAGGGCUCUGGAUCUGCUAACAGCAGAGCGAGGAG